UCGGGCGUAUUCGGCCUGUACCGGAUGUUGCUAUUUUUAGAAACAGAAGGUAUUUCCCGGCUAUUCAUAGGUCAAUAAUGGAAUUUCUACAUCGUAGGAUUUGGAAACAUUGUGAUGUUUUUCUCAUGAAUAUAAGUUUAAAAUAAAUAAACAUUAAAAGUACACGCUGACAGUUGAUUACGAUACAUCUAACAAUUUGAGUCAUUACAGUAAAACAUGGAUUAUAAGUGAAAUAUACGCGUAAGAGAAGAUUUUCUCUCGAAAAAACGAACUGUCAACAAUCGGCAUGGAACUGGGAUAUUCAGAUAUUCGUAUCAAAGGGCUCUGAAUGCAGGAAAAUGACUGAAUAUUACUUAGUCAACAACACUGGGUUAUGAAGAAUUCCAGCCUGCAUUAAAUACUAUGUUUGUUCCUUGAGAGCGGAUUUGACAGCCAUGUCCAUCCACAAGGCAGUCGCAUCUGAUCGAGAUAAUCACUAAACAUUCUUGAUGGGUAAAGUACCUGAAGGUGCAUGAAAACCAAAUCAGCAUUGACUCAGCAUUGAGUAGUUAUCAUCUGUGCACACACUACAAGUACAAAGCAUGGGAACAGAGCAAACUUCAACUGUUGAAGAGUGAAGAAUUAUUGUGAAAAAAACUAAAUGUUAGAAUACCAAUGACAAAAUAAAACAGAUAGACAUCAAAUUACCUACAGAGAUUGUUUACAUGUUAUAAUAUUAAAAAAAAUUAGUUGAGAACUUUCACUCUGAUAUUUUUGGAGGGGCGAGCCCACUUAGUGUUCUUGUUUCUUCACAUAUUUUAGUUUAAAAGUACACUCAUUUGUUUUAAACUCUGUAUUCUGAGUGAGUAUCAUAAGUAAAAUUCA